GAUGAACGCUGACAGAAUGCUUAACACAUGCAAGUCUACUUGAACUUCGGUUUGGGUGGCGGACGGGUGAGUAACGCGUAAAGAACUUGCCUCACAGUUAGGGACAACAUUUGGAAACGAAUGCUAAUACCUGAUAUUAUGAUUUUAGGGCAUCCUAAAAUUAUGAAAGCUAUAUGCGCUGUGAGAGAGCUUUGCGUCCCAUUAGCUAGUUGGAGAGGUAACGGCUCACCAAGGCGAUGAUGGGUAGCCGGCCUGAGAGGGUGAACGGCCACAAGGGGACUGAGACACGGCCCUUACUCCUACGGGAGGCAGCAGUGGGGAAUAUUGGACAAUGGACCAAAAGUCUGAUCCAGCAAUUCCGUGUGCACGAUGACGUUUUUCGGAAUGUAAAGUGCUUUCAGUUGGGAAGAAAAAAAUGACGGUACCAACAGAAGAAGUGACGGCUAAAUACGUG
rnacentral:rRNA from 1 species